rnacentral:rRNA from 1 species
GACGAACGCUGGCGGCGUGCCUAAUACAUGCAAGUCGAGCGAGACUCUUCGGAGUCUAGCGGCGGACGGGUGAGUAACACGUGGGCAACCUGCCUGUAAGACUGGGAUAACACCGGGAAACCGGUGCUAAUACCGGAUAAUCCUUUUUCUCUCAUGAGGAAAAGCUGAAAGUCGGUUUCGGCUGACACUUACAGAUGGGCCCGCGGCGCAUUAGCUAGUUGGUGAGGUAACGGCUCACCAAGGCGACGAUGCGUAGCCGACCUGAGAGGGUGAUCGGCCACACUGGGACUGAGACACGGCCCAGACUCCUACGGGAGGCAGCAGUAGGGAAUCUUCCACAAUGGACGAAAGUCUGAUGGAGCAACGCCGCGUGCGCGAUGAAGGCCUUCGGGUCGUAAAGCUCUGUUGUUAGGGAAGAACAAGUACCGGAGUAACUGCCGGUACCUUGACGGUACCUAACCAGAAAGCCACGGCUAACUACGUGCCAGCAGCCGCCGUAA